CCAAAUGAAACUCGUCCACAGUCCUGCAGAAAAAGAAAUAGCGAGAGAAACAGGUAGAGAGAACCUAGAGAGAGGAGAAAGAAUGAACCGCCGGAAGACUCACCGAAAACUACCAUCGGAGCUUACUCCGGUCGAGAUCAUGAUGCAAGGAUCCUUUCUUGGAAGGAAAAAGAGAAUGUGGGUGGCCGGAGUUCCCAUUUUUCAUUAAGAAAUCGAAAAACCCGCAAGGAACAACUCUACGCACGAUCUGUGAAGAAGUUUAGCCGAGAUCUCAACUCGAAGGCGAAGAUCCGAGAGUCAUCUGAGAACGGGAUCUAAUUUAAAGAAAUCAGUAUUUUUGGACACCUCACGGGCAAAGAAACGCUAGCAAAAAGGGCACGCGUCAACCAGGUGUUCGCUGGCUGCUGGUCGAGGUAGAGGAGCGUUCGAGAGUUGUACAGUCACAGAGGGGGUUAUUCCGGAGCGUCAGUCCCUUUACGGUCUUUUGGAGUCUUUUGUAUUUCAUUUUAUAUUUGCAAUUUCUUUUGUAAUAAUUUCGAAACAAAAUUUCUCUCUUUUGUUUUAA